UUCAAGCAUUUCAAGUUCACUACCUCAUAUUGAUUUCUUUCAAAGUUCAUUCAAGAUUAAGGUUCUAUAUGGAGAUAAAUUUAAUCUUAGCAUGGGUAUAAAUUCUCGAUGCCAAGCUCAAUUACAAAGAAAGACUUCCAGUUUCCAUGGAAUUAGCUUUCAAGACUCAUCAUUAAUGGAAUUACAAGGAAUACCCAAAAUUCUCAUGACUUUGGUUCUCAAUUCUGAAGAUUACAAAGAAUUCAUAUUUUUAACACUUACAAGUCAAGUUACAGUUUUCGUUCAAGAUGUCCAAAGUACAAAUUCACCAAAAUUCUAA